rnacentral:SRP_RNA from 1 species
AAUUCGGUCUUGCGCAAUGGAAAUCUGCGAACCGUGUCAGGUUGGGAACAAAGCAGCACUAAGCGGAACUUUCCAUGUGCCGUAAGGUCACCGGGUGGAG